rnacentral:rRNA from 1 species
UACGUAGGGACCGAGCGUUGUCCGGAAUCAUUGGGCGUAAAGAGCGUGUAGGCGGCCUUUUAAGUCCUGCGUGAAAUCCUGGAGCUCAACUCCAGAACUGCCUUUGAUACUGAGAAGCUUGAGUCCGGGAGAGGUGAGUGGAACUGCGAGUGUAGAGGUGAAAUUCGUAGAUAUUCGCAAGAACACCAGUGGCGAAGGCGGCUCACUGGCCCGGUACUGACGCUGAGGUGCGAAAGCGUGGGGAGCAAACAGG